AGAAUCAACGCUGGCGGCGUGCCUAACACAUGCAAGUCGAACGAGAAAGUGGGAGCAAUCCCACGAGUAAAGUGGCGCACGGGUGAGUAACACGUGACUAACCUACCUUUUAGUGGGGGAUAACCUAGGGAAACCUGGGCUAAUACCGCAUAAUACCUACGGGUCAAAGCAGCAAUGCGCUGGAAGAGGGGGUCGCGGUCGAUUAGUUAGUUGGCAGGGUAAUGGCCUACCAAGACUGUGAUCGAUA
rnacentral:rRNA from 1 species